rnacentral:rRNA from 1 species
UACGGAGGAUCCAAGCGUUAUCCGGAUUUAUUGGGUUUAAAGGGUGCGUAGGCGGCUUAUUAAGUCAGUGGUGAAAGCCUGGAGCUUAACUCCAGAACUGCCAUUGAUACUGAUGGUCUUGAGUACAUUUGAAGUGGGCGGAAUGUGUCAUGUAGCGGUGAAAUGCUUAGAUAUGACACAGAACACCGAUUGCGUAGGCAGCUCACUAAACUGUAACUGACGCUGAGGCACGAAAGCGUGGGGAGCAAACAGG